rnacentral:rRNA from 1 species
GCACAAGCGGUGGAGUAUGUGGUUUAAUUCGACGCAACGCGCAGAACCUUACCUAGACUUGACAUCCCGGGGAUUUUCUGGAAACAGAGAAGUGCUUUAGCAAUAAAGAACCCGGUGACAGGUGCUGCAUGGCUGUCGUCAGCUCGUGUCGUGAGAUGUUGGGUUAAGUCCCGCAACGAGCGCAACCCUUGUCUUUAAUUGCCAGCAUUCAGUUGGGCACUUUAAAGAGACUGCCGGUGUUAAGCCGGAGGAAGGUGGGAUGACGUCAAGUCCUCAUGGCCUUUAUGCCCAGGGCUACACACGUGCUACAAUGGGUGGUACAAAGAGAUGCCAACUCGCGAGAGCGCGCCAAUCUCAGAAAGCCAUCCUCAGUUCGGAUUGGAGUCUGCAACUCGACUCCAUGAAGUUGGAAUCGCUAGUAAUCGCGGAUCAGCACGCCGCGGUGAAUACGUUCCCGGGCCUU